UACAGAGGUCUCAAGCGUUGUUCGGAUUCAUUGGGCGUAAAGAGCGUGUAGGCGGCCAGGCAGGUCCGCUGUGAAAACUCGAGGCUCAACCUCGAGAUGUCGGUGGAAACCGUCUGGCUAGAGUCCGGAAGAGGAGAGUGGAAUUCCCGGUGUAGCGGUGAAAUGCGCAGAUAUCGGGAAGAACCCCCGUGGCGAAGGCGGCUCUCUGGGACGGUACUGACGCUGAGACGCGAAAGCGUGGGGAGCGAACAGG
rnacentral:rRNA from 1 species